rnacentral:misc_RNA from 1 species
AACGCAUAUUGCGCUCUCUGGUAUUCCGGGGAGCAUGCCUGUUUCAGCAUCAUUUGAAUAUCUCAAAAUCAUUUUUGGAUGGUUUUGGAGAGCUAGGCUUUAUGUUGUGGACAUUUUUUCAUAACUGGCCUGAAAUUGAUGCCAAUUUAAUGCAAGAAUCUAAUGUAGAUGUGUAAGGUUCUAAAGAUGAAAAGCUUAUUAGUUGACCUUGGUCAAACUUGCUGAUUAGUCUUCAAAAACUAAGCAAAGCUACAUUUAUAAAUUGAUCUGAAAUCAGGUAGGAUUACCCGCUGAACUUAA